AGCUGUACCGGUGAGCUGUCUGCCAGUGUAGCUGUGGCUCAGGCUUUCCUGUUUGCUUUCAAAAUGGUCUGCAAAUACAUGUUAAUGACACGUCACUGAAGCUACCCUUGAAGCAUAAACACUGUGGAUCAGGAUUUAUGCUUUGUAACUCAAGGCCUGGUACUCUGUACUGAGAAUAACAUCUCGACAUGAAUAAGAGCUUGGUGUCCGCAUGUCAGGUGACUACAGCAUCCUGCCUUCUGCACCACGGGAUUUGUCUCAGAAAGGCAUCUGCAUGGCCUAAUCAAGCAUCUGCAAAAAAUUCAGAUUCCAGGGAUUGUCUUAGAUGAAGAUAUGGCCAACAUCCUCC